CUGGAUUUCCUCCUACUCAUCGCCAGAUCGUACUUCAGUUUUCAGUGAGACUGCCAUGCAUGCUUCCCGCUCUCGUGCUGAUCACUUCCCUGUCUGCUGCUGAACCUGCCUGCCUUUGCCUGAGCUCCAGUUACCCUCUGUGUGAGUACGCCGGAGAGAGGGACUGCUCCACUCUGUACUCACGGUGCCAUUACCACAGGGGGAACUCCAAAUAAAAGACUUGUAUUUUCACAAUCCA